rnacentral:sRNA from 1 species
GUCGGGGGUGCUGUCUAUUCACUCCUGAAUAUCAAAUAUAAGAGCUGGUACUCCUGGUUAAUCAACAGCUUCGUCAACGGGGUCUAUGCCUUUGGUUUCCUCUUCAUGCUGCCCCAGCUCUUUGUGAACUACAAGUUGAAGUCAGUGGCACAUCUGCCCUGGAAGGCCUUCACCUACAAGGCUUUCAACACCUUCAUUGAUGACGUCUUUGCCUUCAUCAUCACCAUGCCCACGUCUCACCGGCUGGCCUGCUUCCGGGACGACGUGGUGUUUCUGGUCUACCUGUACCAGCGGUGGUGAGUGUGGCUGCGUAUGCUCGGCCGUUGCUCCGUCUCAGCGGCGUGGCUGCUGCUGAACGGAAUGACGGCUUUCACCGCACCCUGCGCCUGUUUAUCCAUUUGAGGGAAAAGAUAAUUUGCAGGUGGUGGUUUUUCCUGUCUUGCCUAAACUUGGGUUCCAGUUGCCCAUGAUAUGUCCUGGCAAGAAACUGUUCCAGCUCUGUCUCCUCAUUGUGCUUUAGAAAUGCUCGUUUCUAUGUGAAUUAUUGAUGAGCCACUGAAAGCAAAUAUCUCUCCUUAAGCGAUUUAUUUACCUAUUCACAGUCAUUGCUAUUGAGCAGAACAGAGACCGUAGCACGGCUAAUCCAUACUUGGCGCUAGCCUUGAAGUGUCCAGCCAGCAGUGUGGACCUGCAGGGCAGAAUGU